rnacentral:misc_RNA from 1 species
GAAAUGCGAUAAGUAAUGUGAAUUGCAGAAUUCCGUGAAUCAUCGAAUCUUUGAACGCACAUUGCGCCCUCUGGUAUUCCGGGGGGCAUGCCUGUCCGAGCGUCAUUGCGAACCCCUCAAGCACGGCUUGUGUGAUGGGCCCUCCCGCGUCUUUGUCGUCAAGACGGGCCCGAAAUGCAGUGGCGGCUUCGCGGUUAUCCGAUCAGCCAGAGCGUAUGGGGACUUUCUCUCUGUCACACGCCCGCGGCGCGGACCGACGCCUGUCGACCUUCAUUCAUCGUUUUCUCGGUUGACCUCGGAUCAGGUAGGGAUACCCGCUGAACUUAAGC